rnacentral:lncRNA from 1 species
AAGGGACUCGUGAUGGGGUUUGGGGAUGCUGUGGGUUCACAAAUAGGGUUGGGGACACUAUGGGGACAUGAGAGCUCAGUGGGUGCUCAUAAAUGGGGUUGGGGACAGCAUGAGGACAGCAGAGCCAUUAAGGCACUGCUGAUGGGGUUUGGUGACGCUGUGGGUCCCCAAAUGUGCUUUGGUGACACCGUGGGCACCCCGGACAGACGUGAUGCUCCUGUUGGCUUCCUGUUGUCCCCUCUUUUAUUCCCCCCCCCACCUCUUUGUCCCCCCCCCAACCCCCCCAGAGGCCCGGUGCUGGCCGUGGCCGUGGCUGCGGACGCCCAGCUGUGCUGCAGCGGCGGAGCCGACGGCUGCAUUCGGCGCUGGAAGCUGCCGGACCUCAACGUGGAUCCCUACGAUGGUUACGGU